UACGAAGGGGGCUAGCGUUGUUCGGAAUUACUGGGCGUAAAGGGCGCGUAGGCGGCCAGCGCAAGUCAGUUGUGAAAUCUCCGGGCUUAACUCGGAACGGUCAACUGAUACUGCGCGGCUAGAGUGCAGAAGGGGCAACUGGAAUUCUCGGUGUAGCGGUGAAAUGCGUAGAUAUCGAGAGGAACACCUGCGGCGAAGGCGGGUUGCUGGGCCGACACUGACGCUGAUGCGCGAAAGCCAGGGGAGCGAACGGG
rnacentral:rRNA from 1 species